UACGAAGGGUGCAAACGUUGCUCGGAAUUAUUGGGCGUAAAGCGCACGUAGGCGGCUUUUCAAGUCGGAUGUGAAAUCCCUCGGCUUAACCAAGGAAGUGCAUCCGAAACUGGAGAGCUUGAGUACUUAAGAGGAUCGCGGAAUUCCCGGUGUAGAGGUGAAAUUCGUAGAUAUCGGGAGGAACACCAGUGGCGAAGGCGGCGAUCUGGGAAGAUACUGACGCUGAGGUGCGAAAGCUAGGGGAGCAAACGGG
rnacentral:rRNA from 1 species